GUCGAGAUGUCCGAGUGGUCUAAGGAGCUUGACUUGAAUAAUUUUGAGAUCAAGUGUUGUAAAACGCGCAGGUUCAAACCCUGCUCUCGACG